CCUACGGGAGGCAGCAGUUGGGAAUCUUCGGCAAUGGGCGCAAGCCUGACCGAGCAACGCCGCGUGAGUGAUGAAGGUUUUCGGAUUGUAAAGCUCUGUCUUCCGGGACGAUAAUGACGGUACCGGAGGAGGAAGCCACGGCUAACUACGUGCCAGCAGCCGCGGUAAUA
rnacentral:rRNA from 1 species